rnacentral:ncRNA from 1 species
ACAGAGGAGCGGACGAACAAGAGUACUCUUCCCGAGGGAAAAAGAGGUUUCCCCAUGAAGGAACAGGAAAGGGUAUCGCCGCCGAAACGCGCGUGCAUCCUCUUGCCGUGCGUUGGGAAUAAGGGAGAAUACCCUUAUUACUGUCACCGCGGUGAUGCGCUUUC